AUUCCAUUAUGAGGUUAUUUUCGUAGUAAUUCUUUGAAUCUCUCCCACGCCUUAUACAAGGACUCGUCAUCCACUUGUUGGAAGGUAGUAACCUCGAUUCGUAACU
rfam:Gossypium arboreum cultivar AKA8401 contig_12071_3, whole genome shotgun sequence.